rnacentral:lncRNA from 1 species
CAAACACAAGAUGGGGAUGGGGGCGUCCAUCAUUCAAACCACAAUACUACCUGAGAGAAAUUAAAGAGAUUCUUGCAGAGGUGAAACGGCUCAAGUCCUAGGGAGUGGACGCUGCUGCUCGGAGAGAAAUACAAAGACCAGAUUCAUCUGCUUCAAGAAUUAUAAAUAGAACCGUCAGAUUAGAUCCGGCCGAGGAAUGGGGGCACCACGAGGGAGCCAAGUCCUCUCUGAAGAAAAAGGUUUCCAUCAGAUGCAGUCUGCAUAGUGGUACAAGCCAGGAGGCUGUCAGAGGCGAGGCCUUGAUUUAACUUCAGCAGGCUGCAGCUAAAGCAGGUUUCAGUUUGGGCCCCUGAGCAUGCUCUGCAAACCCAGAGACGGUGGAGGCUGCUCGGUCACAGAGUACAUCUCCUGAUCUCCACAGGGCGUCAUCCCUAAAUACUUCCAGCCUCCCUUCUAAAACGAGCGUCCUGGAGGCACUUUACACAAAGCUUGAGAAGACUGAAUCUGUGUCUGUUACGUUUUGAAUCCUUUCUAUGGAAUUCAGUAGCAAUGCAUGGACAUACUUCUGCCUCCAAAGAUACAGAAUAGGCACCACCUUCCCUGCUCUUCCCACUGGAUGCUGAGCAGACACAGCUGGAGUGGACAAGACCCGCCAGCUGGAAAGACUCACAGAACAGCCCAGACUUAAGUUCACUGACUUCCCUGAGGUUCCUUUUGUGCUUCUUAUAUCCCAGAUUGGGAGAUGGAGAAACCAGCAACCUGGAAAUGCC